AGUCUGAUAUCAGUGUGUGAGUCUCUUCUCUCUUUCUCUGCUGGAGUUUGUGUUUAUUUGAGUGUGACGGAGGUUUUUGUUCGACGCUUUCACUAGAAUGAAGCACUGUGGUACACUUUUGGUGGAGGAACUAAACUGACCAUCGCUGGUCCCGCAGUGAAGCCCUCCGUGUCUCUGCUGCCUCCCUCUUCUCUGCAGAUCUCUGGAGACUCAGCCGCACUGCUCUGUCUGCUCAGCUCUUACUCUCCACAGGGGGCGCAGGUGAGCUGGACGCUGGACGGGUCAGAGGUCACCGAGGGGGUUCAGACCAGCGCAGAGAGCGAGCGGGACGGACGCUACAGCCGCAGCAGCGUCCUGAGCCUCAGCAAAGCACGCUGGGAAGCCGGCGAGCGCUUCGUCUGCAGAGUAACACAUGACGGAGCUGAUCACGAGACCUCGUUCCUCAAGAGCUCCGAGUGCUGAUGUUUCUCCAGUGAAGAGCAGCAGGAUUCACAGCAGUCUCCUGAUUUACAGCUCAAUACUCAAGCAGUCUUUCAAUGUGCUGCCAUUGCUGUUCAUUCAAUAAAGCUUCUGAACGCCUUA